AGCAGCCGCGGUAAUUCCAGCUCCAAUAGCGUAUAUUAAAGUUGUUGCAGUUAAAAAGCUCGUAGUUGAAUUUCGGGAUUAGUACGUUGGUCGUGCCUUCGGUACGUACUGGUGUUACUGGUUCCUACCUUCUGACGAACCAUCAUGUCAUUAAUUUGGUGUGGCGGGGAAUCAGGACUGUUACUUUGAAAAAAUUAGAGUGUUUAAAGCAGGCUCGCGCUUGAAUACAUUAGCAUGGAAUAAUGAAAUAGGACGUUGACCCUAUUUUGUUGGUUUCUAGGAUUGACGUAAUGAUUAAUAGGGAUAGUUGGGGGCAUUAGUAUUCAAUUGUCAGAGGUGAAAUUCUUGGAUUUAUUGAAGACUAACUACUGCGAAAGCAUUUGCCAAGGAUGUUUUCAUUAAUCAAGAACGAAAGUUAGGGGAUCGAAGACGAUCAGAUACCGUCGUAGUCUUAACCAUAAACUAUGCCGACUAGGGAUCGGAUGAUGUUAUUUUUAAUGACUCA
rnacentral:rRNA from 2 species